CCGGUGACGCGCUUUGUGGUCCCUUCUCUCAUGGUCCACUCCUCUCAUUCUUUCCUUCUACGUCACCCAAAUCACAACAAACUCCUCACUCACCACAAUCUUCCAUCAUUGUUUUUCCUCUAUUAAUCAAAUCCAAAAUCUUUUUAGACGAUUUUUGGAAAAUUGGAGGCCGUAGGAUUAAGAUUCUUUGAUCCUAGACCUCCACUUGUCUAGAAUUUGUCUAUAUAGAAGAAUUUCGGAUUUUACUUUUAAGGUUUUUGUAUUUUUCGGAUUUUUAAAAAAAAAAAGAGAGAGAGGAGAUAAUUUCCGAAUUCCUUGGAAAGGAAGAAAGAAGAAGCUUCUAGGAUCCCAUAUAUAUAUGGGGAUUUUUCGGACAGAAGAGGGAGGGUGGGGAGAAAUUUUUGGUUUGAGAAUAAAACUAGGGUUCUUUCUUGGAGGUUUUCAGAUUUUUUUUUCUUUGUUCUUUCUGAUUUCGAACAAAAAUUGAAAAUAGAUUUCUGUUUCUUCUAUUCGGAGCUUAAUGGUGAUUUUCAAAAAUGGAGAUUUCUGAAGCUUGAAGCUGUGUCGAGGUGGCCUUCGAGUUCGAGCUCGCGGAUCCAGAAUCGAUUGCCGUUGUUCCAUCCAUUUCUAGUUGAAUUCGUCAUUCGAUCUUCUACUUGUACUUCUUAAUGGAUAGAAAUAUAUUGGAAGAUUUCGUUACAGGUUGUGGACUGUAGGUUGCCGCUGAAUAUCUUGAAUAGGCUAGACUUGUCUCACAUUAUCAGAGGUGGAUUUAUGAAUUGAAUUUUAUGGUUAUUAGAUUCUAGGAUAAAGAUCUCAAGUGCUAGUAUAUAUUUAGUAAAUUUUUAACAUAUAUGCAGGAUUUGUAAAAAUUGCAGGGGACGCUCUAUUUGGUCGCUCCCAUUUAACUUAUAUCCAUUUUUUUUAGAAGUUUUAACUUGUACCCACUUUUUAAACAACUUCAGCCCCUUUUCUCCUCA